rnacentral:lncRNA from 1 species
CGUUUCAGCACAUAGCAUGUGCUCAGUAAAUACUUGCAGAAUGAAUGUGUUAGUGAGUGAGUACAGAGGACCUGACCUGCCAUCACUGGUGGUCUCACGUUAAUAGUGCCCUUUGAACGUGACUUUGGUGGAAUUAAGUUAAUCGUGGUAUAGUAUGCACCUGAAGGAAUGUGGAGCCGCAUGCUGGGUCUGCAGAAUGUUGUCACCUGAUGAAGAAGAACUGGAAGACGCUGGAAGAAGGCUUUGGAAAAAUGCCCAGAUCAUGAGAAGGUCUUCAGAGCAGCCACCGUCUCUGAUCGUUCAGGGCUUGGCAUGAGGAGGUGCUCAAUAUAGUCAUGGAGAAGAACUCAUGGACUGAACUUCCUGGUGAACCAGAGGGAUGGUGCAGAGAUUUAAGAUUGCAACAGGAACCCCCAAGCCAAUGUAAGCAAAACAUCUAUUUCAUGACUAUGGGAAUGUUUUGUAAAAUCCAAGCACCAGCCUGAAGAAAGCCUGGAACUGCAAACUAGGAGCUUUGAGACACUCUGUCUUUUGAUGUCUA